AUGUUAGGGUUUGCGUGAGAUGAAAGUGUGUGAGUCAGAUUGAAUUUUUCAGAGCUUCCUGGGGGUUGCUCUGAGUUCUCUGUCAGGUUUCUCUCCAGGUUUUGUCAAGGGUUUUGUUUCAAGGAAACCUCAGAGUAUUUUGCUUCUCUUCCUUUUUCUGUCUGAUCUCCCUCUUUUAUAACUUGAUUUUCAUGGCUUUGUGGGCUCAAAUGAGAGAGGUCCAAGUCCAAGUUUUUUCUAUUAUAUUUUAUUUAUUUUUUUAUUAUUAUUUUUAUUUAUUU
rnacentral:lncRNA from 1 species